GGAAAAGAAACUAACAAGGAUUCCCCUAGUAACUGCGAGUGAAGCGGGAAAAGCUCAAAUUUAAAAUCUGGCAGUCUUUGGCUGUCCGAGUUGUAAUCUAGAGAAGUGUUAUCCGCGCUGGACCGUGUACAAGUCUCCUGGAAUGGAGCGUCAUAGAGGGUGAGAAUCCCGUCUUUGACACGGACUACCAGGGCUUUGUGAUGCGCUCUCAAAGAGUCGAGUUGUUUGGGAAUGCAGCUCAAAAUGGGUGGUAAAUUCCAUCUAAAGCUAAAUAUUGGCGAGAGACCGAUAGCGAACAAGUACCGUGAGGGAAAGAUGAAAAGAACUUUGGAAAGAGAGUUAAACAGUACGUGAAAUUGCUGAAAGGGAAACGCUUGAAGUCAGUCGCGUUGUCCAGGGAUCAACCUUGCUUUUGCUUGGUGCACUUUCUGGUUGACGGGUCAGCAUCAAUUUUGACCAUUGGAAAAAGAUUAAGGGAAUGUGGCAUCUUUGGAUGUGUUAUAGCCCUUGGUUGCAUACGAUGGUUGGGAUUGAGGAACUCAGCACGCCGCAAGGCCGGGUUUUUAACCACGUACGUGCUUAGGAUGCUGGCAUAAUGGCUUUAAUCGACCCGUCUUGAAACACGGACCAAGGAGUCUAACAUGCCUGCGAGUGUUUGGGUGGAAAACCCGAGCGCGUAAUGAAAGUGAAAGUUGAGAUCCCUGUCGUGGGGAGCAUCGACGCCCGGACCAGACCUUUUGUGACGGUUCCGCGGUAGAGCAUGUAUGUUGGGACCCGAAAGAUGGUGAACUAUGCCUGAAUAGGGUGAAGCCAGAGGAAACUCUGGUGGAGGCUCGUAGCGAUUCUGACGUGCAAAUCGAUCGUCAAAUUUGGGUAUAGGGGCGAAAGACUAAUCGAACCAUCUAGUA
rnacentral:rRNA from 2 species